rnacentral:lncRNA from 1 species
AAGUGGAUAAAGCUUUAAUACAGAGAUAUGAGUAUUUUUCUUUUAAUUUCAUCAUUUAUCCUAUGUACAUACAUUAGAAGGAAGAGAAGAAGAAUCAAAAUAAAUGGAAUAAUUAUUAACAAUUUCAGAUAUGCAGAUGAUAUUGUCAUACUAACAACUACAUCCAAUGAGCUGCUAUAAAUUUAUUACUGGAAUAGAACUCAAAUGUAAUGAAAUGGAACUCAAAAUGAAUGCAAAUAAAGCUAAAAUAAUAAAAAUUCCAGUUAAUGUAAAAAGCAUUAAUAAAUCCCUGAAUCAAGUUGAUAAUUUUUGUUCUUGGGUAAAAAAUUCUUUUCAAAUAAUAUCCAAGACAAAAAACUCAAAUAUGGAAUCACUCUGGAUAAGACUAAAUUCAACCACAUGAAACAUAUUUUAUGUCAGAAGAAGCUCAGUCUCAAUCUUAGAAUUAUUCUGGAAAUUCUGUAUCUGGCAUGUUCUGUUGUAUGGUUGUGAAUAAUAGAUUUUUAAACAAGAUACCAAAAGAAGAUUAGAAGUCUUUGAAAUUGAGUCUAAGACAAAUGCUAAAAAUAAAAUGCAUUUUCAAAACAUCAAAUGAGUCAAUCCUUCAGCAUGUGAUUAUAACAGAUCAAUAAAAUGCAAUUUCUUCACAAACAAACUUACUAUAGUCACAUCCAAAGAGAAUCAAAAUAUGAGAUACCCAAACUGAUUUGAGAGUAAAUUGAAUGAAGACAAGGCAAAGGGAGAAGAAGUAGUAGAUAGAUGGACAACCUAAAUGACUGGAUUGAACUAAAUAUAGAAGACAUUAUUCACAACUCCAGGAAUGGAACAUGCUGAUUGUCAAUCUCUGUAUAGGAGAGGGUACUUAGAAGAUAAGAAAGAUAUAUGUUUUAUAUGCUUAUUAGGUUAGUUUUUAUUAACAAGCCAAACCCAGACCUGAUUUCCUCCUAGAAAUAUGGGAAUCUGAAUUGAAUCUGGAUCCUUCAAGAUGGUAGGUGACUGCUUUAUUAUGCGACUUAUGUGCUUAUUCUUUAAUACCUAUAUAAUUGCUUUUAAUGUUAUAUCUUUGUGGCAUACUAAUACGAUGUAGAUUAUGUUCCAGCAUAUGUGUGUUUCAAUUUGCAUAGAAUUUUGCAAAACAAUCAACUUAUGUAAGUCGGAGAUUUUUUGUAUUUAAAAAAUUAUAAUUUCUUAUGAACUUUUUAUGCUUAGUUAAAAAAUAAUAAUAAUAUAUUCUAUAUACCAGGGAUGAGCAACCUGCAACCUGUGUCGCACAAACUAUUACAAAAAAAAAUAAGUAAAUAAAAUAAAAUAUUCCUUAACUGAAAAUUAAAAAUGCGGAUUUUUACAGCACCUUUUUCAGUAAAUAUAGAAAAUUCGUAAAAUGAACUUUAAUUGUAGAUAAUAGACUUGUAAAGUAAUUUAGAUUUGAAAAAUACUUUUAAAGAAA